AGUGGUUAAGCGUUUGGCUGCUAACCAAAAGGUGGGUGGUUCAAACCCACCAGCUACUC
rnacentral:tRNA from 1 species